CGAGCGGCCUCCGCACGAGCAUUUUUCUGUUUCUUAAGGGACACCAGCAACUGAUUUGCAGUUGGCUCAGCUCCUCCGCUAGUGCCUCCAGCCUUCGCCAACUCCUUGAACUACUUUGUCACUACAGCACUGUUGGCGCCCGACACCCCCCUUCGCCGCAACAAAAACCUGCCUGUUGUCCACACUUUUAACUCGUAUCGAGAAUCGGUUGGGCCUAUUCCCUGGUGACCGUGUUGGCCCCUAUUACAAAAAAAGGGAAAGAGGAAAAAGACUCUUUCAAUCACGAGAUAUGCGAGAGGACAGACUUUUUUUUGACAAUGAAUGUCAAAAUGUGUUAAAAUGUACAAUGCCUGUAACGGAAAUCCGGAUUCCUUAAAAUCGAGCAAAUCCUGGACUUUGAGGACGAUUUUCCUAACCUAGGACUGGUUGGGUUACGUUUUUAUGAAAAUUAUUGGCAUUAAACCGUUCAAAAAAUCUGUAAACGUUUGUUUUUUUUGUUUUUUCUAGCUUCUAAUAUAAAUUUUUGAAGUUUUUAAAUAAUUCCUGCUCAUUUUUAAUGCAUACUGCGACCAAACGUGCCUCAUUUAGUUCGAACAAUAUGUCUGAUUCGUUUGAAGUAUGUAACAAGACAUGAGGCCACUAUUGUUUUGCAAACAUAGUCGUUAUUUUAUAUCUCAAGAUUUGCAAAAUAUUUCCAAGUCAUUUGGCCAGUUAUUCAUUGGCCACAUGAAUGGUGAUCACGACUUGUCGUGUGGGUCAGGCUCUUAAUAAAAGACAUAUCUUCAAUAUCUCCGCCUUCAAAAUAAAAUCCAUUUUUCUAAGUUUCUGCAUAACAUUUCUCUUAAACAGUUUUUUUUUUUGCAAAUACUCCGAAGCCCAACCGUGCCAAAAAUGGCCAUUUUUGUGUUAACAGUUAUAGAACACGUCUUAUAGUGUGUAUGGUUGUGAUUUGUAUACUAAGAACUGAUCUGUAUAUCCCGCAAAAACUUCUUUCCUGACUCCCCCAGCUUACUGUGUCUUCAUCCCCGUAGUGUUAUAGCCCAAUUCCGUCUUCGGUUGUGGUGUUCUCUAGUAUCAAAGAGUUUUGUUCAGUAUAAGGAUCUUGAAAUGUUCCAGGGGUCGAUCGAAAGAAAUAUUGCUGCACGGACACAGCCCUUGUUGCAGGACGCAACAGUCCCACUAGUCGCGAACCUCCCCGUCCACUUUAGACGCGCCGAACUGCAAACCGGCAGCCUUUCUGAGACUUCCGCUGGUUUUGUCGUCAUUCCCGAUCCGUUUCUGGCCUACAACACAUUUAAAACCACAAAAAGCCGUCGAUUCCUCGGUUAAACCAGCGUUCCCCAGUGGCGAAUUCACCUGUGUCGUGUAGAGACGUCUUCACUUUUACAGUCGGAAACGGAUCGAAUAUUUAAAAUUUCUAAUUUUUGCAGAUUUCCUGUUUUAGUGUUCACAAAUUGUUGUCCGUCAUUGUUAUGUUCCACUACCACACUACUGCAGACCACUUAGUCAAGGGGACAAGCAGUGGCGGAUCAACCUAGGAGCGGUCGCUCGAGGCCUCGUCGGUCGGGGGGGGCCCCAUCGGUAAGGGAAAUCCUUGUUAUUUCCCACACACAAUCCACCACUGGGGACAAGCUUUUACCAUGAUGUUCACAAUUUUACUCCAAAAUAUCCGAAUUUUACGGAGCACCUUCAGUGCGUUAUCGACAGACGUGUUAAGAACCCCUGACUGUUGUUGUGUGUUUGGCAACCGGGGAAAGACGACAGCAAAAAGCGCGACCGAAAAAAGCGUCAUUCGGAAUAGAAAGUCAAAACCGUGCGGACGUGUGUUCUUCAUAGUUAAAAAACUUUUCGAAGCAACAGUGAGAUUCAACAGUGUUGUGAUAUAUUCUCACCAACUUGUUCCUGUUCCAUGUUGACACGGCGUCAUGCGAGUGUCGAUGCAUUCAAACCAUCCACAACCUAUGAUGUGCUACAACUGUGCUCAUUACGGUCAGACCAAAAUGGGAUGCAUAGUAGCACAAUCCGGCUACAACUGCCGUACGCCUGCCCUCAGAGGAUUUACCGUUGAUUCCAGGCGUACUCUCUCCCUUCUGUCCGCGCUACAACCAAGAAGAACCCUUGAUCAAGUGCAAGGAUUUAGAAGGAAAUAAACUACCGGUUGAUUUUGUUACAGAACGUCCCUCCUUCCUCUACGACACAUCAUCACCAACAGACUCGUCUUAGCUGCAGCUGUGCAGCAGGAUCCUUGAAAAAGGAAUAGACGCUCCUGCCCUCAUGACAGGGAAAUAUAUCCCUGGUUCUAUCGUACUCUUGCAAUGGACGAGGAACUGCAACGAAUACUCCGGGCAACCGGAAAAGGCAGCUACAUCACCAACGUCAACUUCACACUCCUGGUCCGGAACAAAUGCCAGCACUAUCACCAGUCUCUACACAGACGGCUCCGUUUAUCAGGAGUCAGGCGGCGGCUGUGAGAUCUUUUCCAGCCUCGAAAACUAUUCGCCAAUGAAAAGAUUUCGUACCGACAAUCUCAACUCCAUCUUCACCAACAGUGCAAGUGUUCUGACCGCCGUUGAACACGGAACUUCCAAAGACCGUCGUCUCAUCCAGUUCCUUGACGCCCAUUCCUUCGUUUCCUGCUGUUACGCAUUAGCUUUACAAUGUCAUACGCCAUGCACGCCUAACUUAAAAAAAUCCCAUUUUUUGAGUCAUCAUACAGCUAUGCGAUAUAAAUCUAAAUCUCAUGCAUUUGCCAGCGAAUACCCGUACCGAACAACUGAAACCAGAAGCAAUUUAUAAAAAUCAAAUCAUCAUGUGGAUUUGUAAUAAAGUUGCAUAUGCAACGCUCAAAAUCA